rnacentral:rRNA from 1 species
GACGAACGCUGGCGGCGUGCUUAACACAUGCAAGUCGAACGGAGUGGCGAACGGGCGAGUAACACGUGGGUGACCUGCCCUGCACUUCGGGAUAAGCCUGGGUAACUGGGUCUAAUACCGGAGCGUUUGGGAUGGGCCCGCGGCCAAUCAGCUUGUUGGGUGGGUAAUGGCCUACCGAGGCGGCGACGGGUAGCCGGCCUGGGAGGUUGGACGGCCUCAAUGGGCCUGAGACACGGACCAGACGCGAACGGGAGGCAGCAGUGGGGAAUAUGGCACAAUGAGGGGAAGCCUGAGGCGGCGACGCCGCGUGGGGGAUGUCGGCCUUCGGGUGGUAAACUCCUUUCACCAUAGACGCGGUAGAUGGAGAAGAAGCACCGGCUAACUACGUGCCAGCAGCCGCGGUAAUUC